UUAGUUGGUUGUAUAACUAAAGCACGAAAUAUCAUGUGAAGUUUCAUGUUCGCCUUAUUUUAA
rnacentral:rRNA from 1 species